GGGCCCGCACAAGCGGUGGAUGAUGUGGUUUAAUUCGACGCAACGCGAAAAACCUUACCUACCCUUGACAUGUCAGGAACGCUGCAGAGAUGCAGCGGUGCCCGAAAGGGAACCUGAACACAGGUGCUGCAUGGCUGUCGUCAGCUCGUGUCGUGAGAUGUUGGGUUAAGUCCCGCAACGAGCGCAACCCUUGCCAUUAGUUGCCACAUUCAGUUGAGCACUCUAAUGGGACUGCCGGUGACAAACCGGAGGAAGGUGGGGAUGACGUCAAGUCCUCAUGGCCCUUAUGGGUAGGGCCACACACGUCAUACAAUGGCGCGUACAGAGGGUCGCCAACCCGCGAGGGGGAGCCAAUCCCAGAAAGCGCGUCGUAGUCCGGAUUGAAGUCUGCAACUCGACUUCAUGAAGUCGGAAUCGCUAGUAAUCGCGGAUCAGCAUGUCGCGGUGAAUACGUUCCCGGGCCUU
rnacentral:rRNA from 1 species